GGGCGGAAGAUGAAGUGUCCAUCAAGGAGGCAGCCGAGGCAGUAGUGGAGGCCAUGGACUUCCGUGGGGAAGUCACUUUUGAUUCAACAAAGUCAGAUGGGCAAUACAAGAAGACAGCCAGCAAUGGCAAGCUUCGGGGCUACUUGCCUGACUUCCGUUUCACACCCUUCAAACAAGCUGUGAAGGAGACCUGUGCCUGGUUCACCGACACUAUGAGCAG